GCACGGACAAUUAUAUCCGCGUCCGGGUCGGCUCCCGCAAACGAGGACGGCGCACCGCCCCACCGGCCGCGGGCGCACACGGAAACAGCAACCAUGGCCGCUCAGCUCAUCCAUCUUCGUUUCCCUCCGCGUCCGCUCCAUAGUUUGUCGGUUCCUCUGCGAUGCGUAGGACGCGAUUACAAGGUCUACACGAGGCUUGCGGCCCGGCGCUUAACUGCAAAAUGGUUCCCCAAGCUGCGGUACGCUUUGGAAGAAGAGUGUGUUUCCUGCGAUGUGGAAAAUUCGCGGGGGUCGAAUAUGCUUGAUGGUGCAAUUAACUCUUCAAAUGGCAUGGAUGAUUUUGAGGGACAGCUUAAAAAUUUAUUUCUUGAAGUCAGAGCGAAGCUUGAGAUGGGGAAUAAAGAUGAUGCUGUGUCUCUACUUCAAGCAAAUUUUGAAGCAGUAAAAGAGCAGAUAAAUGCUGGUUUUAAAGGUAUAGAACAAGCUGCUAUUCUUGACACCCUAGCUUUGGGAUACAUGGGCAUGGGCGACUUUAGAACUGUUGAGCAUCUGCUAAAUAUGCAGCUGAAAGAUAUAGUUGGUGAUCUGCAUGAUGACAUACCAUUGAUGGAUUCAAUAUUGAUGCACAUGGGAAGUAUGUAUAACACUAUGGGGAAGUUUGAGGAAGCAAUUUGUUUAUAUGCAAGAGGUCUCAAAAUCAUAGAGCAAGAGUUUGGAACCUGCAGUCCUUUUCUCAUAACACCUCUUAUGGGAAUGGCAAAAGCCUUGGGAUUUACUGGAAGAGUCUCUGAAGCUGUAACACUUUAUCAUCGGGCUAUUGAUAUCUUGGAGAAUGCAAGAGGCACUGAAAAUGAAGAUCUUGUGAUUCCUUUAUCUGCUCUUGGUAAUCUUUUUAUCAGUGAAGGGAAGGCAACAAAUGCUGUAGAUUGUUUUAAGAGAAUUUUAGAUAUAUACAGAAAAAUUUAUGGAGAAGAUAAUGGAAAGGUGGGAAUGGCUAUGUGCUCCUUGUCACAUGCUGUGUGUGCAAAGGGAAAUAUUAAUGAAGCAAUUUCUAUGUAUAAAAGUGGUCUCCAAGUAAUUAAAGAUGCAAAGUAUAUGGCUGUAAAUGAUGACUUACUUGAGAAAAUGAGGACUGAUUUGGCAGAACUGCUUCAUGUUGCAGGAAGGGAGCAGGAGGGCAGAGAAUUACUUGAGGAAUGUUUGCUUAUAUCUGAAAAGCACAAAGGGUUAGAACAUCCUAGUUCAGUGACUCACCUUCUAAACAUUGCCAUGUCACAUUCUCGUUCCAAAAAUUUUGCUGAGGCAGAACGCUUGCUAAGGACAUGUUGGCACAUUAUGUUGAGAACAGUAGGCCCAAAGGAUCAGUCAAUUACAGUCCCUAUGUUACACCUUGCAGUCACAUUAUACAAUUUGGAUAGAGAUGAAGAAGCUGAGCGACUCACUCUAGAAGUAGUGCGCAUCCGUGAGGAUGCAUUUGGAAAGGAAUCUCUUCCAGUAGGUGAAGCCCUUGAUUGCCUAGUGUCCAUUCAGAUGAGACUAGGAAACGAUGAUAACGACGUGUUGGCAACACUGAAAAGAGUGUUGAACAUUCAAGAGAAAGAGAUGGGUUUUGAGAGUGAAGAGGCUUUGACAACCUUAAAAAAGGUUGUCUUUUAUUUGGAUAAAAUGGGAAAGAGGGAUGAGAAAUUGCCUCUUCAGAGAAGAUUGUCCUUGCUCAGAAGAAAAUACAAGCAGAAAGUUUCGGUUUAAGAGGUUUGUGGCUGGGCAGUGGCUCAAGUUAUUUCGUGUGCAAAAGCUAUCUACACCUCAUUAUUGAUCAGCUGAAAUCUUUCUUAGCUCAGUCUCUGCAGAACCAGAAAACCGAUACUACAGUGGUGUCUACCAACUUGGUACCAGUGAAGGAAUAGGACACAAACUAGUCUCCGUCAAGCAUGUAAAUGAUGUCUUUGGCUUGUUUUACCUGAACUCAGUAAGUUUAAGUCUUUGGUAAAUAUUAUCUUUGAGCGACAGUUUGCUUUGUCCUAUUCACAAGUGAGGUUUCCAUUUAGAUGGAUGAUCUAUAACAUGCUUUCGAUGAGAUGUUUAGUUAUUAGCAAAGUUUUUUCUCCAAAGAGGAUUUUUGUUUACAUGCAAAGUUUUUCGUGAUUGUUUCUCACUAGGUAUUGUGAUUUAAUCAUUUAUUUUUGUUAGUUUAGUGAUCAAGAAGGUUAGGCUGGUGAUGAUAAGUAUCAACAAUUUUCCUGUAUAUGUAGAUUUGUCACAUUACAUUGUGAUAGCCAGAUUGAUGUAGAUGAUGGAAAGUAAACUGGCUCUUCUGAUUCAUUCAUUGCACAUCAUGUUGUUAUGCAUAUACUACAAGGUUUGUUUGGAAUUAUACCAUCUGACAGUCUAUUGAUCUUGUUCCUGACUGGUGUAAGACAUGUAGUUAGUACUAUGGUGGGGACUUCGUAUGCAUUUGAGUCCCACUCACACAGUUUUAGUAGGUAAUGUUUGUUUGUAAUCAUAGGAAUGGCACUAAAACCAUUAUUAACCUUAAUUGCUUGUUAAUUUACACAUGGUGCUUCAACGAGUUAAGAAGGAUUCAUUUAGGUCUCCCCUUGAACUGUUCCCCCAGAACACCCGUCUGCCUGCGUAGAGGUUUUAUGAGAGAGAAGGUUGUUACUCUUCCCAUUAUGCUCUUUGUGGGCUAAAACUACUGAUUGAGUAUUGAAAGAACAGGUGGUUUCCAAAUUCUGCAAGAAAUGAAUCUUGCGAUGAUGAACCAACGUGCAUGCAACUGCACAAUCGAAAAGGUAAAAAGAAUUACAUGUAGAAAAUUUUCCUUUCUAAUACUUUUUUGAGUUAAAAGACAUCCAAAUACUUAUCAGCCGCAACUCUAAUUUCAAUUUGUUUAUCUUGCAAGGGAAAACAUAAACCAAAGACUGGGUUGCCUGGCACUGAUAUUAUUGGCCUGACCAGGCCCUCUCUCUCUCUCUCUCUCUCUCUCUCUCUCUCUUUCUCUCUCUCUCAAGCAUGCAGUUGAAGAUCAUGAUCAUGUAUACAAAUGACAGAUUGAGGGCCAAUUUGCUUCACUUGUCUUUGCAGGCAUACAUUUGGUAGUGGAUUCUCCCUAUGUUUCUCAUUUGCCAAUGCAAGGCCUACAAAGAUGACACUGUGACACCAGCAACUGCUGCAGCAGAAGAACUGUAUUUGUAGGGUUUUACUUCUGAGAAGAUGGAGAUUUUAUGAACUUGAUGGAAUGAUUAGCCACUGCUGAAGUAACCUACGGUCAAUGAUAUGCAAACAAUACUAUUGUUGUUAUCUUAUUAGAAACAUGAUAUCUGGGACUAACAUGGCAAGAAAUAUUUGCCUUUUCCUCGUGAUGCUGCAGCUAAAUGAUCUGGAAAAGCCACUGUGAGGAGGGGACCCGAGAGAACGAUGGUGGAACGAAGCGGCACAAAGUGGCCACACGGACAUAAUUGCACCUAAAAGCGACGGGGAUGAACAGCCUUAGACACUUGGUCAUAUGUGGAACUCAUCGUUCAGUGUCUCAGAAGGGAUCAAGACUUGACAGGAGCCAUUAGUUGAUCUGAAAAGAAAGCGUUAUUAUAUCCACAGACAAAUCACUUGACAAGCUGCCAAAUUGACGUACUUGGACGUUUGAUUCCCUCAGAAGCACCCAAGCUUAGGUAUUUGGCAUCUUCUGAGAGUGACUACCUGCUGAAUAAAGAACCAUGGGCAGGUUCGACCUGACCAGUCUUCUUGAUGCACAUUAUUUGAUGUCGGAGGUGGUGCAGUGGACACCAAACAGACUGCUAUUUUUCUAGAAGAAAGGCUGUGCUGGAAUUGGAAGCUUUCAUGGUUUGUGCAUCUUGUAUGAGGGUGAUAAAGAUAGAUCGACUCUCUGGGCUCCAUUGUGUACCUUCAGCUUCAGUAAGUAACAGCAGAACGACUUGCUUUUGAGUUUGAUCUCAUUUUGAGCCAUGGGAGAAGGUUUGUGGUGAGUUGCUUUCUCAUUCAAGAACUGCAGUUUCGUUUUCUCUGCAUGAGAAUUGAACCUGCAGUAUUACCCGCCGGA